GAAACAUUUAAAUAUAUAAAGGGAAUCAACACAGUAAAGGAGGAGACUAUAUUUAAAAGAAGAAAAACUACCACAACAAGAGGACAUAGUCUUAAAAUAGAGGGACAAAGGUUUAAAAAUAAUAUCAGGAAGUAUUACUUUACUGAGAGGGUAGUGGAUGCAUGGAAUAGCCUUCCAGCUGAAGUGGUAGAGGUUAACACAGUAAAGGAGUUUUAC